rnacentral:rRNA from 1 species
AGAGUUUGAUCAUGGCUCAGGAUGAACGCUAGCGACAGGCGUUAACACAUAGCAAGUCGAGGGGCGAGCAUGAUUUGUAGCAAUACAGAUUGAUGGCGACCGGCGCACGGGUGAGUAACGCGUAUGCAACUUACCUAUCAGAGGGGGAUAGCCCGGCGAAAGUCGGAUUAAUACCCCAUAAAACAGGGGUCCCGCAUGGGAAUAUUUGUUAAAGAUUCAUCGCUGAUAGAUAGGCAUGCGUUUCAUUAGGCAGUUGGCGGGGUAACGGCCCACCAAACCGACGAUGGAUAGGGGUUCUGAGAGGAAGGUCCCCCACAUUGGUACUGAGACACGGACCAAACUCCUACGGGAGGCAGCA